CAAAUACUCCCUCCAUCCGGAAAUACUUGUCAUCAAAAUGGAUAAAAGGAAAUGUAUCUAGACGUAUUUUAGUUUUAGAUACAUCUAUUUUUAUCCAUUUUGAUGACAAGUAUUUUCGGACGGAGGGAGUAGAAA
rfam:Triticum aestivum genome assembly, contig: Triticum_aestivum_CS42_TGACv1_scaffold_225981_3B